CCUGUGAUUCAGUGGUUGUCGUUUGUUUAUGUCUAAGCCUUACAUAUUUUUUUUUUCGUUGAUUUUUUUUGUACAUAAAUAAGGCCGUUAGUUUUCUCGUUUCAAUUGUUUUACAUUGCAUUUCGGGGCCUUUUAUAGCUGACUUUGCGGUAUGGGCUUUGCUCAUUGUUGAAAGCCGUACGGUGACCUAUAGUUGUUAAUUUCUGUGUCGUUUUGGUC
rnacentral:lncRNA from 1 species